rnacentral:tRNA from 1 species
AAGGCUUUAAGUUAAUUAAACUAAUAGCCUUCAAAGCUGUAAAUAAAGUGACUAUUCUUUAAGCCUUA